GCGAGCGUUAAUCGGAAUUACGUGGGACGUAAAGCGCAUGCAGGCGGCCUAGUUAAGUCAGAUGUAGAAAGGCCCGGGGACCUUAACCGUACGGUAAGUUGCUAUUUAGUAAACGUGGCGAGGCUAGAGUCUUGUAGAGGGGGUAGGAAUUUCAGGUGUAGCGGUGAAAUGCGUAGAGAUCUGAAGGAAUACCAGUGGCGAAGGCGGCCCCCUGGACAAAGACUGACGCUCAGAUGCGAAAGCGUGGGGAGCAAACAGGAUUAGAUACCCUGGUAG
rnacentral:rRNA from 1 species